GGGUAACGAUCUGACAGCUGAUUGUACCGAGGAUCUCGUCUCUGCUCUCAGUACAAACCGCUCACUGACAGAGCUGAAUCUGAGUGAUAAUGAACUGGGAGAUUCAGGAGUAAAGCGACUGUGUGAGGCUUUGAGGAACCUGGAGUGUAAGAUACAGAGACUGGGGCUGGACAGUAACAGUCUGAACGCUGACUGCCCUGAUGAUACGGUCUCUGCUCUCAUUUCAAGCCUCUCGCUGAGAUAGCUGAACCUGAGGUCUAACUCCUUCACAGACGACCCUGUUCCCGAUCUCCGUCGCCUCAUGCAGAUCUGCACCAGCCUGAAGGAGAUUUGGCUUGAGGGGAAUCAGUUCAGUAAACCCGGAAAGAGACAACUGAAUUCACUGCAGGAAUCCAGAGCUCGACUGAGUUUGAGAGUGUGAUCUCAGCCAUGAGGAGGGUCCAGAGACUGUUUAAUAUUAACUGUAUUGUCUUCCUAUAUAAUACUAAACACUUUAUACUCAGUGCAUAAUAUUCAGUGUAUAAUAAUCCAUAUCUAAUAUUCAGCACUUUAUACACAGUGUAUAAUGCUCAGUGUAAAAUAAUCCAUUAUAAAUCAUAUCACACACUUUAUACUCAGUUUAUAAUACUUAGUAUAUAAUCAUACAAAAAAGUAAACACUUUAUGCUCAAUGUAUAAUAAUCA